AUGAGUAUUGUAUUUAUUCCUCCACAAAUUCAACAGUGCUUGCCAAGGACCUGCUAUGUGCCAGGUGCUGCUGGAGCUGGGAACCUAACGAUCACAGUGUCUGCCUCUGCCAGCCUUUGUGUGUGUGGCAGGGGUGGUUUUGAGUCCCACCAUCUUCCAUCCCUGAUGCUUGGAGAACCUGAGGACACACAAGAGAGUCCUGGUGGACCUGAGAUUUGGGGAAGAUGCAGACACACCGAACCCUAGUGUUGUUUACCUCUGGGGAUGCUAUUGGAGUAACAAAGGUAAGGUUAUCAAUAUUUAAUUAACCUCUGUGUUGUUUAUAAGGAGCAUGUAUUUUUUUGUAAGUUAAAUAAUCCUAUAAUAUAAAGAAAACAAUAAAACAAGGAGAUCCAAAAAAGGU
rnacentral:lncRNA from 1 species